AUGGAUAUGUUUAAAUCUUAUGCGCUGUUUACUUGAUUGACCGGUUACUUCUUUUAAAUGGCUGUUACCUUUUUAUCCGACCCUUCCAAAAACUCGACAUCCUCGAACCACCUAUAAAUACCGAGUACAAUCUCUUGCCGAAACCGCACAAACCUCCACCUUCUCCUUCGCUGUUUCGCCUGAGGACCGCCACCGAGCCACCACCUGAGCACCGUUGAUCGCCGGAACCACCGUGAACCGCCUGCCGCCUGCCGUCGCCGCCGACGACCGCCGGUAAAACAUCUCAUCCGGGUAAUUCUCUUGUGCACGCUCUCUUUGGGGAAAUCUUUGACUCUUAAUCUUAUUCCAAGAAAUACGC
rnacentral:lncRNA from 1 species